AUCCUGUUCUUUCUCGUCUCAAACAGUUUUCUGCAAUGAAUAAGCUAAAGAAGAUGGCAUUGCGGGUAAUUGCCGAAAGUCUAUCUGAAGAGGAAAUUGCUGGUUUGAGAGAAAUGUUCCAGACUAUGGAUACUGAUAACAGUGGUGCAAUCACUUUUGAUG